GCUUACGGCCAUACCAGCCUGGGUACGCCCGAUCUCGUCUGAUCUUGGAAGCUAAGCAGGGUCGGGCCUGGUUAGUACUUGGAUGGGUGACCGCCUGGGAAUACCAGGUGCUGUAAGCA
rnacentral:rRNA from 1 species